CCUACGGGUGGCAGCAGUGAGGAAUAUUGGUCAAUGGGCUUACGCCUGAACCAGCCAAGUCGCGUGAGGGAAGACUGCCCUAUGGGUUGUAAACCUCUUUUGUCAGGGAGCAACGCCGACUACGUGUAGCCGGACUGAGAUUACCUGAAGAAAAAGCAUCGGCUAACUCCUUGCAGGCAGCCGCGGGAAUACGGAGGAUGCGAGCGUUACACGGAUUUAUUGGGUUGAAAGGGUGCGUAGGCGGAAUGCCAAGUCAGCGGUAAAGUCGCGGGGUUCAACCUCGCUCCGCCGUUGAAACUGGCGUUCUUGAGUGGGCGAGAGGUAAGCGGAAUGCGUGGUGUAGCGGUGAAAUGCAUAGAUAUCACGAAGAACACCGAUGGCGAAGGCAGCAUACCGGCGCCCAACUGACGCUGAGGCACGAAAGCGUGGGUAUCGAACAGGAUUAGAUACCCGGGUAGUC
rnacentral:rRNA from 1 species